GAUCAUGGCUCUCAUUGCACGCUGGCGGCCGGCUUAACACAUGCAAGUCGAACGGUAAAGUAGCUUGCUACUUACAAUUGGCGGACGGGUGAGUAACGUAUGGCAAUUUACCGAAUGGAGGGGGACAACAGUUGGAAACCGCUGCUAAUACCGCAUAACGUCUACAGACCAAAGGGUUUCGACUUGCCAUUUGAUGAGCCCAUAUCAGAUUAACUUGGUGUGGUAAUGGCUCACCACCACGAUCUCUAGCUGGUUUGAGAGGAUGACCAGCCCCACUGGGACUGAGA
rnacentral:rRNA from 1 species